AUUGAACGCUGGCGGCAGGCCUAACACAUGCAAGUCGAACGAGUGGCGGACGGGUGAGUAAUGUCUGGGAAAAGGCCUGAUGGAGGGGGAUAACUACUGGAAACGGUAGCUAAUACCGCAUACCCUCGGAUGUGCCCAGAGGGGAGUAGGUAGUAGGUGGGGGAAAGGCUCACCUAGGCGACGACCCCUCGCGGGUCUGAGAGGGUGAAGAGCCACACUGUAACUGAGACACGGUGCAGACUCCUACGGUAGGGAGCAGUGGGGAAUAAUGCACAAUGGGCGCAGGCCUGAUGCAGCCAUGCCGCGUGUGUGAAGAAGGCCGUCGGGUUGUAAAGUACUUUCAGCGGGGAGGCGUGACCCGCAGAAGAAGCACCGGCUAACUCCGUGCCAGCAGCCGCGGUAAUAC
rnacentral:rRNA from 1 species